GGGGGCGUGAAUAGGCUCACUUUAAAAUUUUUCUGAAAAACUUCGCAGCGGUAUUAGAUACGUCGGAACUUCCAACACUGUGCCGGAACUUCCGACAGGAUCGGAACUUCCGGUACAGGGGUGGAACUUCUGACGGUAGGAAAUGAGCUGAACGACAUUCAAAAUAAAACUUAAAACUGCUAAUUCUAUUUGAGUCAAAAGAUUAUAAGUGAUGACUAGAGACUACUGCAGGUGAUAUAUAUGAGAGGAACUUCACAAAUAUAUAGAUCGGCACAAAAUAAGAUUCUAGGUCAAUAUGAACUAGAGGAACACAACAAGCACAUGAGACAAAGGAUUUGUUUACCGAAGUUCAUUUCCACAAAGGAAGCUACGUCUCCGUUGAGGAGCUCACAAAGAGCUGGGUCCUCACUAACCCUUUACCUCUCUCAAUCAACCACAAAGAAGGAUCGAGUUACUUAUUAUAAAUCCUCACAAAGAGGAUAGGUGAUACAAACUUCCCGGGCACACCACACAAAGAGGGCGCUCAAACGGGCGACGCCUAACCGUCUAGAAGCAAGCUUCAAGACCAACAAACACGAAUCAAAUGCUGAAGAUGCUUCAAGUGCUCUUGAGAUGAACUUGUUAAACCUCACACUCAAAUCCCCAAGUCUCACAUCUCCAAUCCUUUUGUCACCCAAGCCCUAGCUCAAAUUCUCAAGGAUUUAGCUCAAAAGGGAGUGGGGAGGAGUAUUGAAUGCUCUAGAGGGUGUUUUGCUCGGGGUAGGUCAGCAGCAAUGAAGGAGGAGGCUGAGGGGGUAUAAAUACACGAGCUCCAAAAACUAGCUAUUACAGUGCUGUUAUGUGCUUGUCAGAACUUCUGACACAGGGUCGGAACUUCCAACACAGUUAUAUUAAAACGGCUGAGAACCCCUCAUCGGAAGUUGUUAGAAACUUCCGGUGCUUAUUAUCGAAACUUCCUACACAGGGUCGAAAUUUCUAACACUGUUAAAUUAAAUCCCUUGAGCACCCCCAGUCGGAAGUUUCUGAAAACUUCCGAUCAGUAUCAGAACUUCCAACCCCAUGUCGGAACUUCUGAUACUCAUAGGAACUGUGAGAAAAUAAACGUGCAGGUGCGUGAGUGGUGUCUCUCAUGGGUGGUUAGCAUCUCAAAUGAGCACUUUGACAUCUUCAAGCUAUCCAUCCACAUCCUCCUUUAUAGUACGGUGUUCCUAUACUCACAUUCAAAAAUAGAAAUUAUAAAAAUGUCUUCUUUUAAGUUCCAACACCGUUCCUCAACAAAAUUGGGGUUCUUUUCUUACACCUUUGCACUUUUUAGAAUUUAAACCUGUCAAUCACUCGAUAAGAUCAUUAGUCUCUUAAUCAUGCAUGUCAUCAACACCAAAACCCACUUAGGGGGCCAAAUGCACUUUCAAUCUUCCUCUUUUUUGUGAUUGAUGACAACACAAUUAAGGCUCACAUGAGAAAUAUAUAAUCCUUUUGAAUCCAAACAUAUAGGUAGGCCCUCC
rnacentral:lncRNA from 1 species